rnacentral:lncRNA from 1 species
GAAAGGGGGAGUGAUUUGAUAUUUUGCUAUUAAAAGGAACUGAACACCAGGGAUGUUUACAGCAGGUUUAUUUGUAAUUGCCAAACUUAGAAGCAACCAAGAUGGCCUGCUGUAUGCAAAUGGAUAAGCUGCAGUCCACCCAGAUAAAUAAAAUAUUAUCUAGCAAUAAAAAGAAAUGAGCUAUCAAGCCACAAAAAGAGAUGGAAGAAGCAUCAUUGCAUAGCAUUUACUGAAAGAGGCCAAUCUGAAAAGGCAAUAUGCUGUGAGAUUCUAACUAUUUAACACCCUGGGAAAAGCAAAACUGUGGAGAGGAUCAAAAGAGCAGGGGUUGUCAAAGUUGUGGGGAGGAAGAAAUGAAUAGGCAGAGCACUACUAUUUUUAGAGCAGUGCAAUGAUUGUGUGAUUCUAUAAUGGUAGAUACAGGUCAUUAUACAUUUGUCCAAACCUAAUGAAUGUACAGCAACAAGAGUGAACCCUAAUGUAAACUGGGUUCACUAUGAAUUUUGGGUGAUGAUGAUGUGUCAGCAUAGGUGUAUCCACUGUAACAAAUGGACCACUCUGGUUGAGAUGUUGAUAAUGGGAGAGGUUGUGUGUAGGGCAGGGGAGGGGGGAUAUGAGGUACAUGGGAAAUCUCUAUACUUUCUGCUUAAUUUUGCUGUGUUGGGCAGUGUAAGCCACCCUUAAAAAACAAAGUUUAUGUUUGGCUGAGUGUGGUGGCUCAUGCCUGUAAUCCCAGCACUUUGGGAGGCUGAAGCGGGCAGAUUACCUGAGGUCAGGAGUUCAAGACCAGCCUGGCCAACAUGGUGAAACUCCAUCUCUACUAAAAAUACAAAAAAUUAGCCAGGUACGGUGGUGCACACCUCUGAUCCCAGCUGCUUGAAAGACUGAGGCACGAGAAUCACUUGAACCUGGGAGGUGGAGGUUGCAGCAAUCUGAGAUUGUGCCACUACACUUCAGCCCAGAUGACAGAGCAAGACUCCAUCUCAAAAAAAAAAAUUAAGUUUAUUUGUAAAAAAUCAAUCAAUCAAAAAAAAUGGACCUGAGUGGAGGAAAGAAGGAGAGAUGGGAAAAGGGGAGCUUGCAGAUGCAGGGUGAUGGAGGCUGGAUAAGGGGCGAAUCACAAGUGACGGGAUGGCACUGAGCAGGCUUCCUCUGAAGUGCUGUAGCUGAGAGGUAAGCCCAUCUUCCUCUCAAACUUCAUUUGUUCAACUCAGCACCUGGCUGCCUUGGGUGCUGUCAGAGAUAAGUCUUACUUAUGGAGACUGAGCAGGAGUUUUGGUUCCUGGUCUGAGCCCAAAAUACGCCUAGUGCGGCAAUGUGCUUGGAAACAGUCCAGCGUAGCCAUGAGAAGAAAAGCUGCUGGAGAAUUUGAAGAACACUUGGAGAGGGCUUUGGGAAUUUCAAGCCAGUGUUGUCGAGCUCUUCAAGGGUCACUGAGGACCCCUCACUGUCUUAGGUUGUAGAGCUAAGAACACUGUGAACCACAAGGGACGUGCAGAUGGAGAGGGGAAUUAGCAUCUGGAUUAGGAGCUUUGCGAUCUUCAAAGAGCGAUGCUGCCCAUCUUUCACUCCAAAACCCGGAGGAGUGAUGAGGACAUCCAUUCAUUCUUGCUAGUUCCCUCUACAUCAUGGUUCUGCAUCAGUGAUCUAAUAUGAAACAGAGGCCUGGCUCUCCUACAUGGUGCAUGAAGCACUGGAAGAUCCAUUUCCUAUAGGUCUUGCCUCCAGGUAUGAGAACACCAAAGCUUGCAAAAAUCAAUUGUGGAUCUGCAUUUUUUUUCAAGUAUUCCUUUGUUUUCCAGACCUGAAAUUGCAAUGACGUUCUCACUGGAAAUACUUAAAACAAUCCUUCCCACAUCUCUAACAAGAAGUAUUAAGAGAUCUCUGGGAAUAGUUCCUAAGGUUAAACCCACCUAUUCUCUUUUCACACUUUGUAGACUCCAAGUGCCAACAAAGCCUCCUCUGCCUGCAGUUAAAAUGGUUUUCUGAUUUCAGAAGACUUUUUCAAUCAGGCUAGUCUUCUGAAAUAUGGCUCUUCUUUUAACCAAUCCAUAUAUUGUGUAUAUCAGCAAUCUCUCUUUCUUGGAGGAAGCAUGUAAGAGUCAAAAUUAGUUGAGAUCCCAGAUUUUUUAAGUUUAA